AAAGCCCCAAUUCAAGUAGCAAUAUUCUAAUUCAUUAGCCAAAUUGUGUAAUAAUUCUUUGUCCAAGAAAAUUCAAAAAGGAUAAUUAAUUUUGACCCGGUUUGAAUAAAUAUGAAUUUAACACUAAAUCAGAAAAAAAAAAUUAAAAGAUAGAAGAAACGUGUGUUGGUUCUAUUUGAAAAAUGAAAACCCUAACAAAAUAUAGAGAAAUGAUGGCACCCAAAUUUUCGAUUUUUCAGAUAAAUUUAUCAUGGACACGGCAUAUCAGACGAGGAAAAAGUUACGGUGAAUACUAGGUAAAACAGACGAGAAAACAUAGUAAUCAACAAAAAAAAAAAAAAACUGCUCACUCUUCCAAAGUUUUUACACUCAGCAGCGAUGGCAAAAGGAAUUGCCAGAAACAAAAUCGAUAGCUUUGUUCCCAACAAAACCACUUGCAGAUUAACCAGAAUAUUUCGGAGAAAGUCUUGUCGAACUUUGGAAACAAGGGUUAGGUCCGAUUUUUUGCGCAGAGACGAAGAGGACAUGUUAUGCGCAGUCCGGCAGUGGCUGUGGCCAUGGCCGUGCUUCAUGUCCUUCGUCAGGCACCGAACGCUUCCGUUCUCCAGUAGCCAUGGUUCGGUAGAAGCCAUUUUUCUCUCUCUAAAAGGAGAAAACAAAGUUUAUAUAUAACUCAACACCGGCAAUGCCAAAGCAAGAUAUGUGUGCAUGCAGUAACGAGCUAAUGUGCGAGUAUAUAUACAUAUACAGUGUAUUCAAGAUCACAUAGAAGGCACCUUCGCAGAAGUUUCGCUUUUGGAGCUUUACUGGGAAUCAACUGUCCAAUUUGUUGUCCAUCAAUGAAUGAUUAACACAUCAUUUGUGUCAUCUAAUUUUAAGCACGAGUGACGCGAGAUAAAAGUAGUAUAUGUUAAUUUGAAAUUAUGCGUCAAUCAUUCACUGUGUGAACAGUAAAUUUUGGACAACGAAUCUCUGGGGUGAGGGUAAUGGACUCGUAUGUAAAAAUUUAUUUUCCCUUGAAAAAUGUCAUCUAUAUUUGUGUCUUGGAGAAAUAUCAUCUAAUGAACUCUAAAAUCAUUGGGUUUUAAUUGGAUUAUUGUGAGCGGAACGAAUGGGGCGCCCGCUUUUGAGAGAAAUAUAAUAGUUUUUGUGUGCAUAACAUUCAUGGCAAAUGUAGUAGGUUUUUUUAUGAAGGUCAAAAUUCAAACCUUUAUUAUUGGGGUGAAAUAACCGUAGAAUACAAUUAACUCAGUUAUGAGAAGUCGGGAUAGUACUAACCUUCCCGAGUUUUAUGACAACUACAGAGACCUCUCCUCUAUUUUUAAAAUUUUCAAAAACCUCCCAUGAGGUUUACUUUUGCUAACAUAUCACCCUUGUCAUCAAAGGUAUAUAUUUAUUUUCUUUCUUAUUAUUUCUUAAGAUAUAUAAUUUCAUACUAUUUUUUAUUUUUUUAUUUUUUAUAUCUUUAUGUUUUUGCAAAUAUGAUUGACAAAUAUUAACAAAAAAAUUAUUUGGAAUAAUUUAAUAAAACUAAUUGAAAAUUCAUUGCAUAUUUUAUAUUGCUAAUUUAGUAUUGUAAUUUUUAUUUUUUUUUAUAAUCUUCACAUUUACAUUAUAUAAAUAUUAGAAAACUAAAUUAAUGUUAUUGUAUUUUAAUGCAAAAAAUUAGCAUUAAAAGUUUAUAGGCUAGAUUUCUUCUUUUAGUUGAUUUUGUAUUAAAUAUUUUAAAUUAAUUUUAAUUUGUUCAUUUUUUCAAUGAAAGACACUAUUCACAAAAAUAUGAUUAAGAUGAAAUCACUUUGUACAAAACGAUAACAAAUGAAAUUUUAAAAUUAAAAUAAUUUAUUUUUGUCUAAAUUAAAAUUUAGAAAAAAAAAAAAACACUGUAAUUGUAAAUAGAUCAUAAGGAGAGAAGGGCAAAAUGAAAAAUUUAUGUUAGGAGGGAAUAUCAGUGAGAAAUUGAAAAUGAGAGGGGGUAUCUUGUUAUUAUCAUAAACCUCAUAUGAGCCCUUAGCAAUUUACUCUGCUUUCAAUUAUUUAAAAAUAAUAAUAAUAAUAAUAAUAAUAAUGGCACUUCUUCUAACUUGCUUUAAGUGCCGAAGAGAAAUUUAUCAAAUAUGUACAAGAAUUUCGAAAUUUGAAUUUUAGGACUCUUGAAAUCGUGUAGCUAAAGCAUUAAACUAAAGUCAAUUUAUAAUAAUUGAGUUUAAACCUAUGUUUGGUCUGGAUAAAAAAUUAAAUUUCAGUGUAUUUUGAUUAAAAAAAAUAGUGAAAUGUGUGAUUGAAAAAUUGAUAAUAAUUUUAAAUCCCAUGAAAUAUAACAAAUAAGGGUCAAACACGGGUUUAGUUUCCCAUAUUAAUCACAAGAAUUAUUAUUAUUUUUUUUUUUCUCACAAGACAAUAGUAUAUGACAACCACAUAGCAAUGGUCAUUGGAACAAAAUUUACUCAAAAUCCAGUUGCCUUGGAUAUUCUCAAUAUAACUAACAAACCAACCAAAAUUUAGUGAAACUUGUAUUUGGUUUUAACAUAAAAUCAAUUGCAAUAAUAUACUUUUUCUCACAAAGUAUUUGGUUAUUUGGUGUAAAAGUGAUGAACAAUGCUCUAUGACAAUCAGUGACAACCGUCACACUCGUUAGAAAUAUAUAAAGAUUUAAUUAUAGUAAAUAAUUACUAUAUCAUUUUAGAUGUUAUUAAUUCAAGAAUUAAGUAUUGAUCACGACCUACCUCUUUGAUACCUAAAUUCUUUGACCCGAUUACCUCUUAACCAAACCAUCUCCAUCUUUGAUAGUAACGCGCCAUAAACAAAAAAUUAUGUACGGCUUUUGUACGUUAAUGAAGCUUCCUAGAAAUUUCUUACAAAGAGAAACCAACAAAUUGAUCUUUAUCGUAGGUCCAUUUCUUGACAUCAAUUCUUGAAUACGUUUGAGAUUUUUAGGUGGUUACGAUAUAUUGAUGAAUUGAGUACACAUAAGGUUUUGACUACAAUCUGAUAGAAUCGUGAUGAACUUCUUAGUACAUGUUUGGUUGAGCGUAAAAAUAAGAAAACUUCCUAACUAUAGCCGGACAGCUUCCCUGCCAACAUUUUGGUACAGAUUUUGGACCUAUUUUAUCUUUUUUAUGAUUAAAAAAAAUAGAAUGAUUUUUAACACUAUCACAUAAAAAAUAAUGUAUGAAAAUGGAUUGAUUACCUGUUGGACCUGUGUAGAAAGCGAUUUGCCUGCAAAAAUUUAAUAAGAAUCAAAGAUGAGAGGAUAAUUGUAAGAUCCUGAUUAUAUUAUUUAUUAGAAAAUUGGAAAAGAUUAAUUGAAUUUGAGAAUAAUUGUUAAUUAUAAAACUCUUACUCUGUCAAGAAGCUGACACGUUCAGCAAGCGGAGUGAGCCCAAGUAAACUCAAUGCGAACACCCAUGACUGUUCAAAAAAUAAAAUAAGAAUGCUGUGAUGAAGGAUCGACGAGUUUUAUAUAUAUAUAAUUGACUGAUACAAACAUUUUGAGUUGGUGGAGCAUAAUCAAAUUUGUAAAGAAUACAAAUUUACGUUUAUCUCGAAUAACGAACAUUUCCAAGUUUGUUAUCCUUUUUAUCUCUAACAUCAUUUUAUCACUUUUAUCUCGAAUAAUCCUUUCAUUAACAUUGUGAUCAUCAAAACAAAAGACGUAUUUAUGUUUAAAUUAUUUUUCUAUCACAAUUAAUGAAAGCAAUCAAUUCAAGUGAAAAUUACAAAAAUCAAAGCAAAUUUUGAACGUUACAUUAUUAACUGCAUUCCAAUUCAAAUAAAGACACAAAUCACAGCAAAAAUUCAUUACCAUAAAAUCGCCAAAACAAGAUAGAAAUUGGAGCACUUAAGUGGAUCCCCAAUUCCAUUUUAUAAGGGAAAAAAAUCAUCAAAAAAAAAAAAAAAAAGGCUUCCCAGAUAAUGAGGCUUCAAAUAUGAUUUCUGAAAGGGGGGAACCUCAAUUUUAGCUUGGGGGGUCACUUGACCCAUCAAGAUCCACUGUGGGUCCACCACUGAUUAUAUGUAAGAGAUUCUCAAUCUGCUAUGUUUUUAGCAAUAAAUUUGUGGCGUGAGAAAAAUUUACAUGCGGUUUGACAUAAUCUUUUAAGCAUGCCAGUAUGGAUUAAUUAAUUCAAUUUUGUUACACAAACAGGUUCAAUGAUAAGAUUUAAAAAUAGGGAACACUUGUUAAACAUUUAUUGAACAGUUUUUUAAUAAUAAAAAAAGAGCCACGAAGGUAGUGCCAAUAUAGGCCCCGUUUAGGAGGGAUUUUGAAAAUUGAUCUUUUGACCAUUAGAAGAAAAGUAAGAUCCACCUGUGAAAGAAGAAGUCAAAAUUAUGGCUGGAAUAAUGAAAUAACUAUCAAAAAAUCAAUUUUUUAUUGUAAAAAAUCCCUCCCAAACAGGCUAAUAGUAACUGUCAAAAACCCUGUUAAAAGCCCCAAUUCAAGUAGCAAUAUUCUAAUUCAUUAGCCAAAUUGUGUAAUAAUUCUUUGUCCAAGAAAAUUCAAAAAGGAUAAUUAAUUUUGACCCGGUUUGAAUAAAUAUGAAUUUAACACUAAAUCAGAAAAAAAAAAUUAAAAGAUAGAAGAAACGUGUGUUGGUUCUAUUUGAAAAAUGAAAACCCUAACAAAAUAUAGAGAAAUGAUGGCACCCAAAUUUUCGAUUUUUCAGAUAAAUUUAUCAUGGACACGGCAUAUCAGACGAGGAAAAAGUUACGGUGAAUACUAGGUAAAACAGACGAGAAAACAUAGUAAUCAACCAAAAAAAAAAAAAACUGCUCACUCUUCCAAAAUUUUUACACUCAGCAGCGAUGGCAAAAGGAAUUGCCAGAAACAAAAUCGAUAGCUUUGUUCCCAACAAAACCACUUGCAGAUUAACCAGAAUAUUUCGGAGAAAGUCUUGUCGAACUUUGGAAACAAGGGUUAGGUCCGAUUUUUUGCGCAGAGACGAAGAGGACAUGUUAUGCGCAGUCCGGCAGUGGCUGUGGCCAUGGCCGUGCUUCAUGUCCUUCGUCAGGCACCGAACGCUUCCGUUCUCCAGUAGCCAUGGUUCGGUAGAAGCCAUUUUUCU
rnacentral:lncRNA from 1 species